rnacentral:snoRNA from 1 species
UGUCAAUGAUGAAAAAAUCAAGGCUUGUUUCUCAAUACAUUCGCAGUGGCCGUCUAAGAACUUUCGCCCUUCGCCGGGCUCGAGAGUAUAUGCUGAACUAUACUUCCUUGGAUGUCUGAGACA